CAAAAAAAAACUUUUUCUUUCAGCAAGCAAAAUAGUUUUCAAAGCCCCUUUCCCAGAACCUCUUUCCCCGAUUCUCACUCAAAACUAGGAUUCUCUCACAGCCCCUUUCAAUCGGCCGGUUUGAAGUAAGGGUUUACAAAUCGUAAGGUCAGUGAGACUCUCCUAAAGAAAUUCGUUUUUGUAGUGAUGCAUAAGAAAUAACCUGUGUAAAGAGGAGUUAUGAUUUGAAUGAUGCUAGAGUUCUUUAACCAGUUAUUGGUGGAAAAGCCUUUUCUCCCAUUUGCAAUUCCUUUGGUUUUAGUUUUUUGGUCAAUAGAGAAAUGGGUCUUUUCUCUCGGCAAUUGGGUUCCUCUUGCAGUGGCUGUUUGGGCUACUAUUCAGGUUACUUCUUGUGAUUUCUACCCUUUUCAAUUACUUGUGACCCUUUGAUUUGCAGAAUUUGGAGUUUAUUGUAAAUUAUUUACCUUUUUUUGGUUUUUUAUUUAGUUUACUUUGAUGUAAUGUUUUGUAUGAAAGUCAAUAUUACUGCUUCCAAGUUGUUUUAGUAGUUCUAAGUCUAAAUUGUACUGAUUUGAAGGAAAAAAUAUCAGUUGUAUAAAAGAAAAUUUUUUGUGCUGUAGAUUCUGUCUAAUAAAGGAGUUAUAGUACUGCCAGAUAUAUAUGCAAAUGCUAGAGGUGUGACUGUCAGCUCUUUUGAGUAGGUUCGGUAACAUAUAUCACAAAAGCAACUGAUAGUUCUUUGUUUAUUUUUCUCAAUGAAAUCAUUUCAAUAGUUAUUAGUUAUAUUUUGACUCCUGAGAUCUUCUAAUGUGAUUCUUGGUCAUUAGAAACCGUUUCUUCCUUAAAAUUGGAUUGUGAACAAAUUGUGUAGAUACUCCUUUGUCCACACUUGGAAAAAGGUCAGAACAUAGGAAAUUAAGUAAAUGUGAUUUUUUCCUUUCCAAGUUAUGAAUGUUUGAUUUACUUGAGUUUUUGGGUAAAUAAAAAUUGAUCUUACUUGAAGGCGGUUUCAGGUUGCAACGACUUUGUUUUUUUGAAGGCGGUUCAGAGCUAUUGAUGUUCUUAACUUGUCUGUUUGAGAACUAGAUUACAAUAACCAUAAGUCUUUCUUAAGCUUUGAGUUUGUAAAUUUAACCCUAUCCUUUCGAGUUUCAAGAACAAUAAAAUUAUUUUAUACGGUUGUUAAUUGUCUAUUGAAAUUUGUUUGUACUGAUAUUGCAGUCAUAUAAGUUUUAGAGAUUUUUUUAUAUCUAACAAGAUGACGUAAUGGUAUGUAUUUAUUUAUUGUAAUUUUUGUAUAUUUAUUCCUUUUACACAAGUGAAUAAAUUUAUUGCGUCCCAAAAUAUGUAGCAAUGUGGUAACUUCAUCAAGUGUUGCAUAAUCAAGGGAGGUUGCAAAUGGACAGGCCCGAGCGUUUAAAUGUAACAACUCAUCCAACGAAUACUAACGACUCCAAUGAAUUAACGAUGGUGAAAAUUGAAAUGCGUCAAUGCAACUAACUCAACGAUUUGUCAUAAUUGUUAAUGUUAUGUAUGUGGUGUUGUUAUUAAUGUUAUUAAAUCGGUUGUAAUUUUGAUAAUUUUUAUUAUCUAACCAACACGUUAUGUAUGAAAUUUGUGCAUUUAUGAGUACCUUAUGGACUUAUGGUGUAUGAGCAUUACUGAACAGCUUUACUGAUGUGAAUAUCUGCUUGCUGGAUUUAGUUUGACACUUUCUGAGGCUUAUUUUGUUGAGUAAUUAUGAAUAACAAAUGUGAAUAACAGCAUUUCAAUCAG
rnacentral:lncRNA from 1 species